GACGAACGCUGGCGGCGUGCUUAACACAUGCAAGUCGAACGGUGAAGCGCCUUCCUUUUUGGUGGGUGUGGAUGAGUGGCGAACGGGUGAGUAACACGUGAGUAACCUGCCCCCUUCUUCUGGAUAACCGCAUGAAAGUGUGGCUAAUACGGGAUAUUCUGGGUCUGUCGCAUGAUGGGUCUGGGAAAGAUAUUGUUUCGGUGGGGGAUGGGCUCGCGGCCUAUCAGCUUGUUGGUGUGGUGAUGGCCUACCAAGGCGGUGACGGGUAGCCGGCCUGGGAGGGUGGACGGUCACACUGGGACUGAGACACGGUCCAGACUCCUACGGGGGGCAGCAGUGUGGAAUAUUGCACAAUGGGCGCAAGCCUGAUGCAGCGACGCCGCGUGAGGGAUGGAGGCCUGCGGGUUGUGAACCUCUUUCGCCAGUGAAGCAGGCCUGCCUCGUUUGUGGGUGGGUUGACGGUAGCUGGAUAAGAAGCGCCGGCUAACUACGUG
rnacentral:rRNA from 1 species